rnacentral:pre_miRNA from 1 species
AGUGGAAUUGCUGGGUCAUAUGGUAUUUCCAUUUUUAGGUUUUUGAGAAACUGCCACGCCGUUUUCCAAAACAGUUGUACCAUUUUGCAUUCCCACCAGCAAU